UACGUAGGGUGCGAGCGUUAAUCGGAUUUACUGGGCGUAAAGCGUGCGCAGGCGGUUUGUUAAGCGAGAUGUGAAAGCCCCGGGCUCAACCUGGGAACUGCAUCCAAAACUGGCAAGCUAGAGUAUGGCAGAGGGUGGUGGAAUUUCCUGUGUAGCGGUGAAAUGCGUAGAUAUAGGAAGGAACACCAGUGGCGAAGGCGACCACCUGGGCUAAUACUGACACUGAGGUGCGAAAGCGUGGGGAGCAAACAGG
rnacentral:rRNA from 1 species